CUCACUCUCACUCUCACUCUCACUUUCCUCUGUACCAGACUCCGACUCCGAAUAUUCGGACUCUUCACUGUCGGAACCUGAAUCUGAAUCGUAGCUUCUACUGCGUCGCUUUCUUGAUCUUCGUUUUCGCUCAACGCCUCUGCUGCUUUUCCUAUCUUCUUCUUCUGCAGAAUCGGAAUCAAAAUCGGAGCGUUUAUCUAACUGCUUUUCCCUUUUUUGUUUGCUGAGGUUUCUAUGUUGCGAAUCGGAAUCGGUGCCAAUAUCUUCUCGACCUUUUCCUUUGGAUUUUUUGUCGUCCUUAUCAGGUAGAGAACCGUUUCGAUCUUUGGCCAUUUUUCAGCUUCUGGGUUUGGCUGUGAGAUGAUCACAAUCCGCAGAGAGAGAGAGACAAAGCUUAUGAGUAGUUGGUGUUCUGGGAGCUCGUCUGUUUGGAUGCAGGGAAAGAUGUGG
rnacentral:misc_RNA from 1 species